UUGAAUAAACUUGAACAGGCUGUUGCUGGCCCCCUUGGAGGUACGUGCACGCUUGUCAUCUUUACUUCUCCAACUGUGCACAUGCUGUAGAUCUGGGAGCCCUUUUUAUUCUUGAAUAGAUUGAGGAUUGCUGCACUCGAGUGUCGGCUUUGCCUUGCGUUUCCAGAUCUAUGUUUUCUUCACAAUCUCAGAAUAUGUCUAGAAUGUUGAAUUGGAUGAUAAUAAUAUA
rnacentral:misc_RNA from 1 species